ACUCACUAUGCAACUCAAUGUUUGUAGUUUGUUAGCUGGCUAGAACACAGCCGUUCUCUCCAGUGUCAUAAUCAUCUUCCUGGUCGGUAUGAUGGUUCACAUCCACUUUGUGAAGGUGGACCAUGUGACACUCAUCAUUGGUUCCCUGGGUGACCAGGUGUCUUCUAGCCACGCCUCCUGCACGGAAUCCUACAGACUUCAUAGAGAUGGGCAAGAUCAAAGACAUUAGUAAAUUAAAAUGAAGCUAUUGUGAGGUUCUGUGUUGUACACUAUAGCCCGUUACCAUAUCAUAUGUGAUGGAAUAUUAUUUGCUGUUGGCUUGUGUGGGUGUAUGUGUUAUGCAACAUAGCUGACUUGAGACAUCGUUAACAGUUUCAGGGCCAUGGGCCUUUCUCGUGAUGGAAAAAAUACAGAAUAACAUGAAGACAGGACCUGUGCAAUGAGUUGUGGGGGCACAUUCAGAACGUAGUGUUGCGAGAACAAACAGUCUUUUGUUAGAGAACAGGAGCCAGGUGUUGUGAUAACUGUAUUGAGUGUGUGAGCGCAUAUAUAUUCUACACAACUACAACGACUGACCGCUGAAGCGCUUAGGGGGCUGGGACCAGCUCGGGCGCUAACAAUCAACGAUAGGCUGGGUGAGUUUAAACCACGCCCAGUCUCUACUCUGACAGGCCGGCUCGGAAGCAGGAAUGACUUCUGUCAGUAUAUUAUAAUAUCUUUGUCAGGAACAAGUCAGUUCUCUGUUUGCCCUGCGAGGUGGGACAGAGAGCCUGUAUAUACUGAAAUUGCAUUUACCACUUAUUGCUUAGCUAAUAAAAAAUACAUAGCAUACAA